GCUUUCGUUCCUUCCCACAGAUGAAAAAAUAUAACUGUAAAUACCUGUAUGAUAUACGUCUGGUGCAUUGCAGGUAAGAAUGGAUUGUGUGUGGCGCGCUUCACCGCAUGUGGACUAGAGUAGAUCUAGGAACAUCAGACAAGAAGACACGUAUGUGAAACCCUGCGGAUAGCCCAUAUGUAAGUUCUUCCUCAAUUUUUCUUUUGUUGCAUUUUCGUAGUUUACGUGUAAUACUUUGUCACCGCGGUCUCGACGUUAUGUAUACCUAUACAUUUGUCUCGUGGCAGUCUGCGUGCUAUUUUGUUUGUGCAACUAUGUGUUGUAUUCAUUUAUCGCGCUGCCUGGAUGGUUUUUUUUUUUUUCACUGAUAUUCCGACCAAAGUCGGUAAACCUAUCCUUCCUGUCCUCAUGUUUCCUUGGGCGGCUCUAAAGCGUAUCUUAGAGGAAUAUUUAGCUUCAGAUUCCCGCAUGGAACAGAUGGUGAACUUUUUUUCCAGAUACGGAGGAACGGACACCGGUCGUGCCGUGAGCACUAUUCUGCAGGGCAUACUUCCAAAUGAAGCUGCACUGCAGUUCAGCUGGAAAGGGUCGCAGGGGAGGAAGCACGCCUUCGUGAAGCUCAUGGCCAUCACGAAUAUAACAUCUGUGAGGAGCACGUUCCCUGACGCUUCACUAGCAUCAGUGGCUGGAGUCGCAAAACGCUGGUUGGUUGGAGCAGCUGACAGGGAUGGAGGCCGGAAUGAAAGAAGGCGCCGUGACCCUGCUUCAAGCCCACCAAAUAUGAACUAGUGUUUGAAACUUGUGAACGUGUCGGUGUACAUAUACAAUUACAAGAAAUAAAGACCUGUA
rnacentral:lncRNA from 1 species